UUCAUCCGACCAAACACCAGAGAAAAGAGUGAUGCUGAUACAGACACACAAGUUUUUUUGGCAGUGGAAUAUGUUAACUGGACAAACUGCUGCAAGCGUUGCAUAGCAACAUGCAUUGAAGCUGCUUUGUCAUGCGACUCUCACGCUACCUGCGUUGGAACCAGAUGGCUCACAUGAAAAGAUUCAGGUGUCUCAGCAGCAGCACACCCACCCGUUGUUGGUCACCUCCAUUUGAAAUUCAAAAGGAAGUUUCACACGAGUGUUCAUUUCGAAUCACCGAUAGCAAUACCUCACCUUGGCAUAGCCAACUACCUGUAAAAUACUUCACAUAACAUCAAUUUUCACAUUGCGUGGGAUUUACGCAAGUUUAUCUCAUAGUUUUCAUGUAGAGCCUUUUGGACCUUUAUGUGGGGGAUAAUAAAAUGGCUUUUCAAGUCUAGCUCCUCUGAAAUAUAUAUAAUUCGACACCUUGCAUGCUAAGCUGCAGCUUCUUAAGUCCCAAACUGGCAUCAAGAAAGCCAGGACUGUAAAAUGAUACUGGGCUGGACAAAUCAGUUUCCAAAGAUUUAUGUUACGUUCUUGACCUCCUUUCCAGAGUUCCUGUGAUAAGUUUGUGUGAAAAGACAUUCUCAAAGCUAACAUAUGUAGAGACCAGGCUGAGAAGCUUUAUGUCAAGAAUGGCUUAGCUGGCUGAUGGUGCCUUUGGUGGAGCAAUGAAUUGCAAUUUUUUUUAUGAUGUUAUGAAGAUAAAUAACACCAUAGCAUGCAGACUUAUGCUGCAGAAAGAAAGCAAGAAGCGAAUGAGUAAUUGCAAAGUGAUCUGCAUAUUGUAUCCCAGCUGUAUUGUGCAUGCCACAUUACCAGAGAAUCCUGCUGACCUUUAAUUAACCUUUCCAGCACAACAUGUCUUUAUCAAGCCAUACCUUUACAUUGGGUUGAUAUAUGCAGGGAUGCCCUUUCACCUUCAUGUAAGCUUAGCUCUGUCAACAGCAGAUGCACUAAAGCUGAACACUCUUGCUACCUACUUCACAUACUGCAACUGAAAUGAAGGAAACACAAGUCUUAACAGUAAACUUUUAAACAGUGCAUUUAAAUACUUGUGCAACCUUCUUUUUGGAAAGACCAUGUGGUGCCUAGAGAUGUAGCUUGACAAGUAAGAAACUGAUGUGCUUUUAUCUAAAAAUAGAAUUGAUUGAUGUUUUGUGGGACAGGGUGCCUGGUGUCUCAAUGAGCACACUUUAUGGCUGAGAAUAUUUUUGCCAUUGUGUCAGCUUUGAAAACUUGUCAGAAUCUUUAAUCUUGGUGCAUUAGAAAACACCUUGACACAAAAUGAAUGUAACCCUUGAUGUCAUUGAAAGAACAGUGCUGAAAACAAUUCGAUAAAUACAGCAGAAUGAAAUGCAGAGAACUUAGGUGGGAAAUAGGUAAGCAAUUUACCAACCACAUUAUCAAUGCAAGCAGCUGACACUUAAUAAAAUAAGAAAGCCCUGGAGCAAGUCUCUGGCUUGCAGUGCAAGACCUGUGCACACUUAUGAUGAUAUUGCAGUAUUCAUGGCAGGGACGGGACCAUUCAACCUUACGCACUGUAACACUCUGUAUAUCUCUCUGAAAUCUUCUUGUACCAACAUGUACAAACUGCAUGUUGCAAACAGCAAAAUCAUUGCUAUUGUCCUACAGACAGUUUCCAUGUUUAUUGGAUUCUCAUUUUAACAGCUGACUUUAAGCUUCCAUACUGAGAGCUGGACGAGUUAGUGCGUUUUUGAAAGAGUAGAAACAGUGCACAAAGUAUGAAGGACAGUGAAAACGCAACAGGAGCACUGACUUGCAACUGAAUUUUUUAUUCAGGUAUACAUACAAGAAUAAUAUGCACACACCAUGCAAUGUGAAAAAAAGCAAGCAAAUGAAGUGCAAACUAUUAAUCAUGAUUGACAUUGCUAGAAAACACAAGCAUGAGUGACGUCGUGAGUUAACUGCGACAUCAUACUAAAUCCAUGCAAAAAACCAUGUUAGAACUUACAUGGGCAUUAUGCGAUUCAAUGAAUUCAACAGUAUGCUUAUAACCUAUGUAUUCUAACAUUUUACUUGAAUAAGGUGCUAAGAAGAUCAAUCUAUAUAUAGCUACAAAUGCCUUAGUCACCAGAUUUGAAAAGCGGGAGGACUUUCGUUUGUUUCAGAGAUGAAAGAAUACCUGUUGUGGGAGAAUGCUGAGAAAUAACAGCGAUACUGAGGAGUCCAUUGGGAAUAAUAUAAUGUACCAACAUGCAUUAGGAAUUACGUCAGGAUCUCCAAAUUUAUUAAAUUUGCAGACAUACUUCUAUAUUUUAACAAUAUUAUUAAGGCAUACAAAUUUUAAAAAGAAAUGCCACUACGUUAGUAUUUGCCAUAGCAAAUGAUUUCCUAGGGGUGCAUGUACAAUGGCACCCAAUUGAAUAUUGUACAACUAAAGCUCUACCACAUGUGUUUGACCCCUGUUGAUUGCAAGUCGCACAAGCCUGUUCCCUUAGUGAGUGAAACUCAGUGAAAGAAACUUGGCCUUCUUUGUGGAGCAAAGACAGUUGGCAAAAAUGAAGCACACAAAGGUAGAGAGGUUUUGGUAUAGCCUGCACAGUGAAAGAUCCACUCAAGAUCCAGGUGCUGUACCGUAUCUUCAGAAGAUAAAGCAUUCAUCUAAACACAAGCACAGGGUGUAAAUGAUCGCACUCCGAUGCAUGUGAUACAUAAUGACAAUCACCACGAAAGCCUAUCGCAUUACUAUUACUUCCACAGGUAAUUUUCAUGGCUGCUAUGGAAUGGCUGUCUCGCUGCACCACAAUCUAUAGCAACUAAUACACUGGGCAUUUCAAAUGGUUCAUGAAAGCGGGUUGGGCCCUGGCCAGACUGAAGCAGCGGCACUCGAGAGACACUUUUCAACGCCCAGCCUCGUGUGAGUCACUUGACACUCGUCACGGACACUUGCUGACAUUGCCUUCAGGCGGGAACAGGCCUUUCUGUUAGAUUCACGUUUCACGUCCAGGCUUUCGUUACUAGGCUUCUGCGUGCGUAAGGCGACGCGAAAUGUUUGAACGCACUUUGCUCAUCGACAAAAGGCGCCCUUACUUUGCACAGCGAUUUGGAAAUGUGUAUGCACCCUACAUCGACGUCAAUGCCGACGCGCACCACUUCUGCGUUUUCGAGCUCGAGAGCAGUGUGUCGACGUGGUGUCCAAGGCCAAAUAGGCAUCCGACUUUGCCAGAAGGCGUACACACAACUUAAAGAAUCGCUACAUACGACACACCCUGCAAUAUGCAUGAUCCGUGUCGGCACCAUAUGCAGUCGGCGCUGUGCUACCACGACUCUUCGAAACCGACAGUCCAAAUGAGGCGACAUGUCGUGCUGUUUCGUGGAUGCAGCACAGUUCGUUCGAAGCUUCUGUAGCUUCGUAACGGCAGCGUUAUUCGUACUCGCCGAUAUUACACAGUGACCCAAUAUGCAGUCGGCGCUGUGCUACCACGACUCUUCGAAACCGACAGUCCAAAUGAUGCGACAUGUCGUGCUGUUUCGUGGAUGCAGCACAGUUCGUUCGAAGCUUCUGUAGCUUCGUAACGGCAACGUUAUUCGUACUCGCCGAUAUUACACAGUGAUUUGUACACACCACACAGCCACAAGGAAUCGCAACGGUCCUCCCACUGCGUGCACGCGUGUAGGCGCCGACAGUCAUUUUCGAUUUUAAAACGCUGCACAAAAUAAAUGCUUUAUUUAUUUAG